rnacentral:rRNA from 1 species
AUUGAACGCUGGCGGCAUGCUUUACACAUGCAAGUCGAACGGCAGCGCGGGCUUCGGCCUGGCGGCGAGUGGCGAACGGGUGAGUAAUAUAUCGGAACGUACCCAAGAGUGGGGGAUAACGUAGCGAAAGUUACGCUAAUACCGCAUACGAUCUAAGGAUGAAAGCAGGGGACCGCAAGGCCUUGUGCCCCUGGAGAGGCCGAUAUCUGAUUAGCUAGUUGGUGAGGUAAAGGCUCACCAAGGCAACGAUCAGUAGCUGGUCUGAGAGGACGACCAGCCACACGGGAACUGAGACACGGGCAAGACUCCUACGGGAGGCAGCAGUGGGGAAUUUUGGACAAUGGGGGCAACCCUGAUCCAGCAAUGCCGCGUGAGUGAAGAAGGCCUUCGGGUUGUAAAGCUCUUUUGUCAGGGAAGAAAAGGUCGUGGCUAAUAUCCACGACUGCUGACGGUACCUGAAGAAUAAGCACCGGCUAACUACGUGCCAGCCGCCGCCGUAACAC